UUUCAAAUAAAAUGAAUGUCAGCUCUCUUAUGUAUUUAGGGUCAAAUUUACAUAUUUUGAAACUCUUGACCGUGGAGACGAUAUAGCAUUUAAUUGGAAUGGUGCGUGGAUACUUACAAUCAAAACUACUCUUUCAAAAUUUAAAAUACGAAAUUCGUUCACAGAAGGUAACUCAAAAUGCUAUUAAGGAUAUUUUUUAUUUAUUUCAAAUAUUCGGGGAGUGAUGACUGUAAAACGACUUUUGCGUCAAAGGAGUUUUUAAAGCCAAACUGAAUGGUUGGUCUAUUUUGUAAAGAAAGACUUAAAUCCGGGUCUCUUUGAUAAUGUAAUGUUAAAAAAAUUUAGUUGUUGUAUGCUACCAAAUUCUGCUCAACCCAAAAUUCAAUAAGACGCUCCGAUGAUUGCUAUUAAAAAAAAAAAAAUGAUAUAAAUUAAUGUCAAUCUAGCCUUUCAAAAAGAUAGACAUAUCCGGUAGUUUUUGCUUCUUCCAAGGAGGCAACUUGAAGCACCUUUUCAUCAUUAAACAAAACCCAUUGCUGCUUUCCAUCUAUCUCUUUGCGUAUAAAUGCUACAUAAUGACCGGCAUGCGCACUUGAGCCCUUAUGGCUUAUUAUGGCCUUUAAAUUGUAGUUGACUGGAACGUUUGUCGAUUCCCAACUACCCAUAUUUUCAUUUUUUAUUGAAGAAUCUGAUCCUUCAAGUGGUGGUUCUUCAAAACUUUCAUCCGGAUGAUUUAAAAUCCAAUCAACUGCGCGCUCAAUAUUAUUGUUAGAUUCAAGCAAUCCUUUUCGUGCUUGUGCAACAGUAAAGCCGAAUUCACAUAAUGAUUGAACAUUUUCUUCUGAAACACUUGAGUCUGCUUUGGGCAGUAAUUCAGAAACUUCAAUAGGUUUGUCAAUUUCAGGGUCCUCCAUAUGUUCAAAUAGCCAGUUCAUGGCAGUUUCAGUAUCAGAAUUUCCAGUAGCGAGUAAUGCUCGUUGGCAUCUGACUAAAGGAAAUCCCAUAGCUUGAAGCUGUUCAAUAGCACUUUGGUUCCAUUCAAUGGUCUCUGUCUUUUCAGGAAGAUAAUCUUCGUCAUUUGGGUGGUCCUUAGCCAUUAAGCGAUCGAAAUUAUAAAUUCCGUCUUCAUUAACUAUUAUAGGGAUGCUUAAUUUCUUAACUUGAUAUCCCUGUAAAUCAAACCGGUUGGCUUGUAGGAUCAAGACUUUCGGGAACGACUUCAUGGCAGUAGUAGUUGUAGCUCCUAGUUUACUUUUACAAGCUUCACAAGUAUACUCCAUUUGGUCUGGUUGUAUAGUUGCAUCUAAACAUUGGUCUAUUGAGACUUCUUCAUAAAUUUGCUCACCCUCAAUUUCACCAAUUUUAACACGCGGAACUGUCAAAGUCAAUCCCUGAGAAGAGAAAGAAGAAUAGCGAACGCGUUUACAGGAAAGACAAGAUAAUUUUUGCUCCGUUUCAAAGUCAAAAAUCUUAGUAAUGUCAGUUUUCGCAAUACUAGAUUUCCGUAUUUUCCCCAGCAAAUACAAUAAAAACUCAUAAGCAUCUUGCUGUUGAGAAGUUCCAAAUUCAGAAUGCCCUUGUCCCACAACAUCUUUGAACAUAAAAGGCCUCAAACCAUCUUGGUAAGGAAGAAUCGAUGAAGAAGGAUUAUUGAGUAAACCAAUUUUGCUAGGUUUAGAAAAUUUCCCACUUACUAAACCAUCAGCUAGUUUACCAAGUUGACAUUGCAAAUCUGUAGUGGGGGUUUGACAAACAGAAUUAUAAGUGUUGAAAAGGUUUAAUUCGUGAAUAGCAAAUUCCUUAAUAGAAAACAACGACUGCAUAGUUGAGGCCAGAUAACAGCUAUUACCAAGAUUUUUAAGACCAGUUAAUCCUGGUCCAAACAAUCUUUUUGAAGCGUCAUCCUCUUCGGAGGCACCAAAAUCCCAAUUUAAAUUUUGCUCUAAUUGUAGUUCAGCCAAAGAUUUUUCAGUUUUGUUCAACUUGGCGAUAUCGAUGCCGAAAUUUAGCAUAUGUGUCUUUAUAUUUGGGUCAAUUCUUUCCUCAUCGCAACUAUAACAAUAUAUAUCAGCCUGACCAUCAGGUGAAAUGCUUUUGAGUUUAACUGCAAGCGGAUGUCCUGUAUCAUCAUAAUGAGAAAGGGCGUGCCCAUUCCCACCACCUCCUCCGUACUGUUUUCUUCCACAGCUUAAUGCGCCACAUGUUAAACACAUCCAUAGAUUUUCUGCAAGAUCACAUUUUGAACAUGUAGCAUUGUCCAAAUUUGUGACGUAAGUUUCAUUUUCUGGUAAAUUUAUUAUAUGAUCACAAGUAGUUAAUUCAUUUUCCCAUGCAGUUAAUUGACUUUUGUUUGAUGCCUUGGUAGCAUUUUUCAUUGCCUCUAAUGAUAACGAAAGUAAGGGAUCCUGUAUAUCUAAUAUUAUAUUACAGACCAAACACUUAGGGACAUAAAAAUAAUCAUAUAAAUCUUCAUCACUAUCUUCUCUGAUCUCAAGUUUCGUAAUUUUUUGGGGAGGCUCAUCAUUAAUUUUUUGCUUAGGUUGCCUGGCAAUGGUGACCACAAUUGGGUGCAAAGUUUGUUCAAAAUGGACAAGUGAGUGUUUUAACCCAGUUUCCCCACAUCCAGAUUGAAAACAGGUUAAGCAUAAAUCAAUUCCACCUUCUUCAUCCUAACGUUUGUUAACGAAUUUGAACUCCUCUGAGUACAUGUUUUAAAACAAGCUAUUUAAAAAACAUACCUGCGAAUUAAAGCAACGGACGCAUUCUUCACGAUAUAUUACCUGAGAAUUAUCUGGGAUUACAACGUUUGUCUCUGUGAGGUGCGGACACGACAUGGGUUGCUAUAGGUGUUUAUGGAUGGAUGGACAUGAGGUAGGCAGAAUAUUAACAUUAGUUAAUAAUAUACGUGCAUCUUGUUGAUUAACGUAUCGCUACAACUAAAAUACCAUCAUGUUUUACAGAGGGCUUAAUUAAUACUCCUAAUCCUGCAUACCAAAC